GGGUCAGUAGGUUGGUCGUGCCACCGGUACGUACUGGUCUCACUGAUUCCUCCUUCCUGAAGAACCGUAAUGCCAUUAAUUUGGUGUUGCGGGGAAACAGGACUGUUACUUUGAAGAAAUUAGAGUGUUUAAAGCAAGCUAACGCUUGAAUACAUUAGCAUGGAAUAAUGAAAUAGGACGAUCGAUCCUAUUUUGUUGGUUUCUAGGAUUGACAUA
rnacentral:rRNA from 1 species